rnacentral:rRNA from 1 species
UCCUACGGGAGGCAGCAGCAAGGAAUAUUGGGCAAUGGCCGAAAGGCUGACCCAGCAACGCCGCGUGGAGGACGACGGCCUUCGGGUUGUAAACUCCUUUUGGGGGGGGACGAUGAUGACGGUACCCCCCGAAUCAGCCCCGGCUAACUCUGUGCCAGCAGCCGCGGUAA